rnacentral:rRNA from 1 species
UAUGAAGGGGGCUAGCGUUGCUCGGAAUCACUGGGCGUAAAGCGCACGUAGGCGGCUUGUUAAGUCAGGGGUGAAAUCCUGGAGCUCAACUCCAGAACUGCCUUUGAUACUGGCGAGCUUGAGUUCGGGAGAGGUGAGUGGAACUGCGAGUGUAGAGGUGAAAUUCGUAGAUAUUCGCAAGAACACCAGUGGCGAAGGCGGCUCACUGGCCCGAUACUGACGCUGAGGUGCGAAAGCGUGGGGAGCAAACAGG